CUUUGCUUGCGUCUGCAGUAAUACCAUUUAUGCUAACAACAUGACCCAAGAAUGUAAUCUCCUUAAGGCAAAACUUGCUCUUUUUCAGGUUGAUAGUCAGUCCAGCCUCCUGAAGCUUAAGAAGGACUGAUUGGAGAUCGUUGAAGUGCUGAGCCACUGAUGUAGCCACUAUUUAGGUCGAUGGUUGUGAAGAUUGCUGAACCGGAGAGUGAUUCGAGUAUCUCAGUUAUAUUUGGAAUUGGGCGAUGCCCAGCCAGAGUGUGAUGGUUCCACAAUUCCUGCUUUCACCAUUUCUUCAAGCUGCUCUUUUACAACAAACUGCUUGGCAGGUGACAUGCGAUGCCGCUAUGAAUGCAGGUUGGGGUGGAGGAAUAGAACUUAAUAGUGAGAGGGAUGGGUUAAGUGUCCUCGGAGGCUGCUCUGGUUGCUGGCCUGAAGGGCUAGGUAUGCAGUAAGGAACUUCAGGUACACUGGCAUUACCAGGUUGAAAAGGAUACUCCUCUUGUGGAGUAAUCUUGAAUGAAUAUUUUCUAUCAAUGACAUUUAUUUGUAAGCCACUGAAGUAAAUGAAAUCCAACCCGAGAAUCACAGCGUAUGCAAGUGCUUGGGGGGACAGGAUAGCAACAGGUAGAGUAAAAGUUUGGUCAUGCAUAUUGAUUUGCAAUUGAACCCAUCCUAAUGGGACUUCUGCUUCACCAUUUGCUAGGUACAGUGGACCAAGUGACCAAGGCUUGAGUUCUCCUGGCAAGAAGAGCUUUCUCCACAGGCUUUCGUGGAUCAUGGUAUAGCUUGCACCUGUAUCUAGAAUGGCCUUUCCAUACCAGCUGCCAAUACUAACUGGAACGAUAAGCUGUUGAGGAAUGAUAGCAGGAGGGACAGGGGCUGGUUUAGAGGGUGUUUUCCGUAAAUUCUUAGAAUUUGAUGUUUGGUUUGUUGUGGCCGUGAUAAAAUUGUUUGUGGCUUGACCUCCAGGUUUAUGAGGCUGAAACGGGCGUGGAUUGGACUGGUGUUGUUUUGCGGAUUGGUUUGUGGUUAGGGAGGCAUAAUUUGGACAGUAACCAGAUUGUAGUUUUCGGCCCAUGCACAUUUCAUAUUGCAACUGCAGCUCAUGGUCUUUCUCCAGUUGGUGUCCUAGCUUUACCAGCUCUUCCACAGUGCUUACACGUCCGCGUAACUGACUGGCUAGUACGUACUCUCUCAGCCAGCUCGUCUUCAUAAUCUUCAGAAAGAAAAGCGGACAAAAAAAAAGUCUCAAACUCACUCCAUGUCGUUACUGAAGAGCAAGCAACCUCCAACCAGUCACGUGCUGUGCCAUGAAGUACACUUCGGAAGGUUGCCAACAAGUCACUUUCUGCAAGAGGAUGCAAUGCUAAAAAGUCCUGACAUCGGGUUAGAUACAGCAGAGGAUCGGCGUCAUCAGAUGGUCUUCCAAAAGUGGGAAAGGUCAACUUUAAAUGGUCACUUUUUCCAGCAGGAAUAGGAUGACAUUCUGGGACCUUUUCUAGCGGUGACGGGGGUGCGGUAAGUGUGAAACGGGAGGUUGGUUGUAACCCUUUACCUUGGUGAUCAGCCAUGUCUUCAUCUUGCCGUUUUCCUUUCUCCCUGUCUGUUUGAAGUUCUUUUAGUUGAGUGCUUAGCUUGUCAACCUGAGUGAUCCAACGAUUACACUCAGUGGAGAGCUGCUCAUGCUCCUUUUGAAGGUUCUUUUGUG